UACGUAGGGUGCGAGCGUUGUCCGGAAUUAUUGGGCGUAAAGAGCUUGUAGGCGGUUUGUCGCGUCUGCUGUGAAAAUCCGGGGCUCAACCCCGGACUUGCAGUGGGUACGGGCAGACUAGAGUGUGGUAGGGGAGACUGGAAUUCUGGUGUAGAGGUGAAAUUCGUAGAUAUUCGCAAGAACACCAGUGGCGAAGGCGGGUCUCUGGGCCGACACUGACGCUGAAGCGCGAAAGCCAGGGGAGCCGAACGG
rnacentral:rRNA from 1 species